GACGGGAGAGCUGGGUGUGCGGGGACUCUCUGUACUAUCUUUGCAGCUUGUCUGUGGAACUAAAAUCACAGCAAAGCAGAAAGUUUGACGCGGAACAAAAUCGAAGAGGAUUGAGGACUCUGAGGGGAGCCGUGCCCUGGACAGGAGAGGGGGUCUUCUGCUCUCAGCCCUUCCCGGCAAGGAGGGAGGCCAGGGAGAGUUGACACAGAGAAGGAAUGUGAAGAGAAAGAAUUGAAGUUGCUGCUGUCCUUGAAGACUGGACUGAAGAGGUCACAAACCAGGGGAAGCCAGCAGCCACCAAAAGCACAGGCCUGCCCUUGACUUGAUUUCGGACUCUUGGCCUUUAAAGAACCAGAGAAUUCAUUUCCCUUGGAGAAAUUGGGUUGAAGUAAGCAGAAGAAUUAGAAGAAGGAGAAGGAGAAGGAGGAAAAGCAGCAGAAGGAAGAGGAGGAGGAGAAGAAGGAGAAGGAAAAGAAGGAGGAGGUGGAGAAAAGAAGAAACAAGAGAAGGAGGGGAAGGACAAGGAGAAGAUGGAGAAGGAGAAAAAGAAGAAAAGAAAGGAAAAGACCUCUUCAGUCUUGGCACUCCCCACCCAAGGCUGCUUUGAGUCUUCAGGCCGUGGGCUUUAUAACUUGUUCUUCCAGGGAAACUCCAAAAAUGAACUCCAGCUUGUUCGAUCCAGUGCUGAGACCCACACUGCCCUGUAGUUCUGAGUCAGCUCUCUGUAGACUGAAAAACCAAGAGCCAGAGGUUCCCCACCAAAAGGAUCCUGCCAAGUUCUUUGCUCCUUGAGGCUUAGCCAAAUCCUCAGCUCUCUGUUGUUGACUCAGUUGGGAACUAAUGGUUUCCCCUUCCUGUUCUACUAUUGGCUUAAGCUGUUUUCCUUCUGGUCUGCAAGGAACAAAAACAAGUACUUUUCUCAUAAAAAUAACAAUUAGCCGAAUCCUGGAUUCCAGAGAGCCUUCAGCCUGAGCUCCCUGGUGUGAGCAAGCAAGCUUCAGGUUUCUUGAGGACACAGGAUUCUGGUCCCCAUCUGAACUAUGAGAGCCAAGUGUUAGAGGCAGAAUGAUGGCAAUACAUAGACAUUACAGAAUUACCUGAGACAUGGGCCUUUUUGUUUUCAGCUUCAGCACAGAGGGGGACAGGAAAAGAAGAGCACCUGAGGAGGAAGUAACUAUGGAACAGAUGUGGGUGGGACUUAGAAAGGAAGAAGAUGAUGGGGCCUUAGAAAGGACAUUGACUGCGAACUCAUGUGCUAAAUAUGAACAGACGUGUUCCCUACGUCAGAUCUAUGGGGUUUACAGUUAACGGUAUUUAUAUACUUUUCCCCUAUUUGGGAGCUUCUCCCUCUGCCCUGAUACAGCUUUCUAGUCCUAUUUUCAACUCUGACACCAUCUUCCCAGACAAUACUCUUAACCCACCUGCAUGUUAGCUGUCAGGCUCAGGCAAAAAUCAGGAAAGUCAAGGGCCACCUGAAAUAUGAUUAAAUUAGACUUCCCAGCUUUUUCCAGCAUUAAGACCCCGAAUCUCAUCUGCUAUACUCUUACCUUCCCAAUUAUUAAACAAUUUGUUCUGCUUUAUAUCUUGAUGUUUUUUCAGCCACCAAGUUGCAGAUGCCAUGACGCCAACCUGACUUCCCUAAACAGGCAACCUCAUCAAUGCCUCCUGGAAUCUCACUUUCUCUGGAGUUCUACCCCACUAGGGGAAGGUAGAAACACGCUGGGAGUAUGGAUCCACCUGUCAACACCCAUGUCCAGUGGAGAAGCAAUUACAGAAGCCAAACCUCCCACUUUCUGUACCCCAUAGUGAUCCUGGGUCCAUAUUCCCAGAGGGAUAAAGAAAAGGCUAACUUCCAGUGGAGGGGAGGGGAUAUGGAACUCUGGUGGUGGGAACUGAAUUUUAUUGAAUUGUACCCCCCUUAUCACACAAUCUUGUCAAUCACUGUUAAAUUUUUAACAAAGGAAGGAAGGAAUGAAGGA